AAUCAGCACCAGUAAAAUCAUCACAAUAUAGAUUACCCGUUUUGUAGUAGGCGAAGAACCACCUAAUGUGUUAACCAAUCUAGGUCCUCCAGCCCCAAAUGUGACAGCCAAAAGCCCUACUUUAAGCCAAUCGGCCACACACUGCGUUCCACUUUUCUCAACACCAUUGUACGUUUCAAAGCAAUGUGCCAUCAAUGUGUUAAACAUCUGACCACCCUCAUAAGCCUGUUCAAGUAUGAGCCCUACACCAGCACAAAUGAGUCUGCCUUGCCACGUAACAUAAAAAGCAGUUGCGAGUCCUGACAAUAGGAUAAUUAUUAAAGUCCCAACUAUUAAAGGGGACAUGUUUGAAAUUAAAGCAAUCAAUCCUGUUGUAGAUAUGGUGUGGAGUUUGGGAGAAGAGCAGAUGAAAUACUGUUUUUUGACCGGGAAAUGGACGAUCAAUGCUGCAGAAAACAGCUUGAAAUUAUAGGAAUUU
rnacentral:lncRNA from 1 species